rnacentral:rRNA from 1 species
AGUCGACGAACUCUGGUAUUGAUUGGUGCUUGCAUCAUGAUUUACAUUUGAGUGAGUGGCGAACUGGUGAGUAACACGUGGGAAACCUGCCCAGAAGCGGGGGAUAACACCUGGAAACAGAUGCUAAUACCGCAUAACAACUUGGACCGCAUGGUCCGAGUUUGAAAGAUGGCUUCGGCUAUCACUUUUGGAUGGUCCCGCGGCGUAUUAGCUAGAUGGUGGGGUAACGGCUCACCAUGGCAAUGAUACGUAGCCGACCUGAGAGGGUAAUCGGCCACAUUGGGACUGAGACACGGCCCAAACUCCUACGGGAGGCAGCAGUAGGGAAUCUUCCACAAUGGACGAAAGUCUGAUGGAGCAACGCCGCGUGAGUGAAGAAGGGUUUCGGCUCGUAAAACUCUGUUGUUAAAGAAGAACAUAUCUGAGAGUAACUGUUCAGGUAUUGACGGUAUUUAACCAGAAAGCCACGGCUAACUACGUGCCAGCAGCCGCGGUAAUACGUAGGUGGCAAGCGUUGUCCGGAUUUAUUGGGCGUAAAGCGAGCGCAGGCGGUUUUUUAAGUCUGAUGUGAAAGCCUUCGGCUCAACCGAAGAAGUGCAUCGGAAACUGGGAAACUUGAGUGCAGAAGAGGACAGUGGAACUCCAUGUGUAGCGGUGAAAUGCGUAGAUAUAUGGAAGAACACCAGUGGCGAAGGCGGCUGUCUGGUCUGUAACUGACGCUGAGGCUCGAAAGUAUGGGUAGCAAACAGGAUUAGAUACCCUGGUAGUCCAUACCGUAAACGAUGAAUGCUAAGUGUUGGAGGGUUUCCGCCCUUCAGUGCUGCAGCUAACGCAUUAAGCAUUCCGCCUGGGGAGUACGGCCGCAAGGCUGAAACUCAAAGGAAUUGACGGGGGCCCGCACAAGCGGUGGAGCAUGUGGUUUAAUUCGAAGCUACGCGAAGAACCUUACCAGGUCUUGACAUACUAUGCAAAUCUAAGAGAUUAGACGUUCCCUUCGGGGACAUGGAUACAGGUGGUGCAUGGUUGUCGUCAGCUCGUGUCGUGAGAUGUUGGGUUAAGUCCCGCAACGAGCGCAACCCUUAUUAUCAGUUGCCAGCAUUAAGUUGGGCACUCUGGUGAGACUGCCGGUGACAAACCGGAGGAAGGUGGGGAUGACGUCAAAUCAUCAUGCCCCUUAUGACCUGGGCUACACACGUGCUACAAUGGAUGGUACAACGAGUUGCGAACUCGCGAGAGUAAGCUAAUCUCUUAAAGCCAUUCUCAGUUCGGAUUGUAGGCUGCAACUCGCCUACAUGAAGUCGGAAUCGCUAGUAAUCGCGGAUCAGCAUGCCGCGGUGAAUACGUUCCCGGGCCUUGUACACACCGCCCGUCACACCAUGAGAGUUUGUAACACCCAAAGUCGGUGGGGUAACCUUUUAGGAACCAGCCGCCUAAGGUGGGACAGAUGAUUAGGGUGAAGUCGUNACAAGGCAGAUG